ACUGCUUGCUCUGGUUGCUGUAGAGGAUCGUUCCUUGAUCAGGCUUGCCUGGUUGGGAUGGCCUACAGGUUGUCUGACAGGC
rnacentral:sRNA from 1 species